UGGCGCACGGGUGCGUAACGCGUAGCCAACCUACCCGAAUCUGGGGGAUAGCCCGCCGAAAGGCGGAUUAAUACCGCAUAAAACUGCAGCCUGGCAUUGGGCAACAGUUAAAGAUUUAUUGGAUUCGGAUGGGGCUGCGUGCCAUUAGCCAGUUGGGGGGUAACGGCCCACCAAGGCGACGAUGGCUAGGGGAGCUGAGAGGCUGGUCCCCCACACGGGCACUGAGAUACGGGCCCG
rnacentral:rRNA from 1 species